UACGUAGGUGGCAAGCGUUGUCCGGAUUUAUUGGGUUUAAAGGGUGCGUAGGCGGCUUUGUAAGUCAGUGGUGAAAUACGGCAGCUCAACUGUCGAGGUGCCAUUGGUACUGCAGAGCUAGAGUACUGAUGAGGUAGGCGGAAUGGACGGUGUAGCGGUGAAAUGCUUAGAUAUCGUCAAGAACACCGAUAGUGUAGACAGCUUACUAGGCUUCAACUGACGCUGAGGCACGAAAGUGUGGGGAUCAAACAGG
rnacentral:rRNA from 1 species